rnacentral:misc_RNA from 1 species
UAGUUUGUCCUYUCCGCCCCAUGCCCUCGCGGGUUGUGGGGUGGACAUCAGGCACGCCCCGUGUUCCCGGCAAGCCAUGCCCAGCUGCUUGGCUGCCUUGGCCCAUUGGGUGCUCUGCCCGUGCUCUCGGAUGCAGAAUGUUGUGCGCGGGUGUGGGGUCUGUUGGCUCCGUUUGCCCAAGCAAUGCAUCUGUCCAUCGACACGAACGACUGUCGUGCCCGUCUUGAGCCCGCAGC